UACAGGGGGUGCAAGCGUUGUUCGGAAUUACUGGGCGUAAAGGGCCAGUAGGCGGCCAACUAAGUCCGACGUGAAAUCCCCAGGCUUAACCUGGGAACUGCGUCGGAUACUGGAUGGCUUGAAUUCGGGAGAGGGAUGCAGAAUUCCAGGUGUAGCGGUGAAAUGCGUAGAUAUCUGGAGGAAUACCGGUGGCGAAGGCGGCAUCCUGGACCGACAUUGACGCUGAACGGCGAAGGCUAGGGGAGCAAACGGG
rnacentral:rRNA from 1 species